rnacentral:lncRNA from 1 species
AGUCUCAUUUGUCUUAAACAAUAGAAUGAAAUUUUAGGUGUAAAAGUCCUUUUAUAACAUAAAGUAGCAAACAGACAGACACAAGGGAUUAUUAGUUAAUUAAAACAAAAGAAGCUAGAAUUAUUAAUCCAAGUUAACUUUUACUUUUAUGAUGAUUUUAUUCUACCCUGACAAUGAUUUAAUAUCAAAUAAGUAACUAACUGUUUAGUGACUGGAUUACUUUUAUGGACUACAGUUGACCCUUGUACAAUGUGGGUUUAAACUGUGAGGGUCCACAUAUAUGUGGAUUUUUUUUUUUUCAAUAAAUACUACACUACUACAGGAUCCAUGGUGGCUGAAUCUGCAAAUGUGGAAUUGGAGAUAUGGAAAGGCUGCUAUGGGAACUGAGUAUCCUAGGAUUUUGCAAUUUGAAGUGUGUUCUGGAACCAAUCCCUCAAAGAUAUGGAGUGUACAUAUAAUUUAGAGUGAGUGAUAAAAGUCUAUGGGAAACACAGAAAAUGGCAUCCAUAUAGCAUAACUCCUUUUCAUUCUAAAAAACACAAUAGAUUUAUUGAGGUAAAAAUGACAUACUAUAAACCAUACAUAUCUAAAGUGUAAUUUGAUUAGUUUUGACAUAUGUGUACUCCCAUAUAAUCCUCACCAACAUCAAGAUAAUGAACAUAGGAGUUCCCAUCGUGGCGCAGCGGAAACAAAUCCGACUAGGAACCAUGAGGUGGUGGGUUUGGUCCUUGGCUUUGAUCAGUGGGUUAAAGACCCAGAGUUGCCGUGAGCUGUGAUGUAGGUCGCAGAUGCGGCUCAGAUCUGGUGUUGCAGUGGUUGUGGCAUAGGCCAGCGGCUACAGCUCCGAUUGGACUCCUAACCUGGGAACCUCAUAUGCCACGUGUGGCCCUAAAAAGACAAAAAAAAAAAAAAAAAAAAAAAGAUAAUGAACAUAUCCAUCACCCUCAAAUGUUUCUUUGUGCCCCUUUGUAUUCCUUUUCUCCCAUCUCUUGCCCCCUCCUUACCCCAAGCAACCACCAAACCAUCAGUCAGUAUUUUGUCACUAUGCAUUAGUUUGCAUUUCCUAGAAUUUUAUUCAAAUUGAAUCAUAUAAUUGUUAUUUCCAUAGCUUCUUUCAUUCAGCACAAUAAUAUUGCUAGAUUCAUCUAUAAUUUAGUUUAGUGGCCAUUCUUUUUAAUUUCUGAGUAGUAUUCCAUUGAAUGAAUAUACCACAUUUAAUCCAUUCUUAUGCUGAUUAAACCCAUGGGUUUUGGUUGAACCCAUUUUAUUAUUUAUAUAUCAAUCUUAAUUUUCUUCAACAUUUUAAAGUAUCAAUGGCAACACACACUCACCAACAAAUCCUAACUCAUACUUUGAGACAAGUUGAAAUUUGGUCCUUCCUUUAUGUUUAAUAAUUGGAAAAGAGGGAAUCUUAUUUUUGAAAAAGUAAAAAGACAUAUUUUCAGAAGUGUGACUCAACAAUUAAAAGUAGUUUGUAUUUUAAACUUUGUUUUAAAGUUUAGAGGUUUGCAGUGCACUUUAUUCCUUUUGAUAUAUUGCAUGAGAUGAAAAUUUUUAUUCCUGGAAGGUAAUAGGGAAGGUGAGGCUGGGAAGAAUUAAAUUUACCCAAAGUUUCAGUAGUGAUGCAAGAGUAAAAACCAAAUUGUCCUAUUAGUGUUGACAUGAGAAUAACAACGUUCUUCUGUCAAAAGUAGGGAGAAAAAAGCUUAAUACAAGAAAAAGAAAUAAUUUCCUUAUAUAUUGAAAUUUUAAAUGUAUACAGAUGAAGAUUGAGAAAAUGGAAAAACCUUAGGAUACAGCUGAGAGAAAGUGUUAAAAUCAGAAUCAAUUUUUCAGAGUACUUAAUCUCCAAAGGCUACUGCAACAGCUAUGCAGAUGCUUAAAAUUAGUAACAGGAUAUAAAUCUCAGAUAUUUUUUCUCAGAGGAAUAAGCAAGCUGAUACUUAUUGCAUAAACCUUUUUAACAGCAAAAUGCAUAAAAAUAAUACAGCAUGUAUUUGUAAGGUCUUUGAAUUUAUUUUACUAAUCCAGCCUUUUUAAAUUUACAAUUUUAAGUGAGUCUUUCAUGACAGCUAUAAAAAUUCUAUUACACAUUCAUGACAGAAUAUGAUAUUGGAAAGAGAAGAUAGUUGGUAAAUAAACAAAAUAAGUAAAACUGACCUUAAAAUUUGGAAGCUCAUAUUUUAAUCUGGGAAGCAUCAUUUUUUGAGCUCUUUCCUUCUCAAGAUAUCAAUAUUAAUAUUCUUUCAUUCACAGGAUAAUUAUAGCAUUCAACAACAUAUUUAACCUAUGUGAUAAGGUAGUUUGAAAUCCUUUCAAACAGCUUCCCAGAAGGGAUAGAAAAAUUAGUUAAUAGUAAAGUAAUUGCCAUUUACUAGAAACUGGUUAAAAGGUGAAAUGGAAAUUUUAUUGCAAAUGUAAUUUUCAAUUACUUAUAACACCCCCAUAAAAUCUAAAAGGGAUAUUUCCAUAUUUGCCUGAACUGUUAGGACAUACAGCUCAGUAUUUAUUAGGAAAAAAUAUUCAAGAUGAAUUUGUCAAAUGGUUCAUUUAAUUGCUCUUUUCUCAGAUGUAGAAAUGCAUAGAAAAUAAAAACCAGGAAGAAAUUUUCAAAGCAAAAGGAAGAGAAUCUUUAUUCCUUUAGUUCUUAUUUCCUCAGGAAAAGGAGAGUUGGGGUCAGAGAAGCUCAGAAUUUGAAGAAGGGUUUGCAAAAGUCAUUCCCCGGCCUCCCCAAGACAUUUCCUGCUGGAGAGAUGGGGAGCAUCGAUCAGCCAGUGUUAUCUGAACCAAUCUGUUUACAUCAGACUGUAAAUCACUUCAGUGGAUCUUAGCCCUGGACCCCUCUGAGAUGUCCAGUUCACCCUAUAGACAUUAUCCAUUUACAGGCUCUCUUUAAAAGUGAAAUAAAAACCCUAUGCAUUUCAGAAAAAAAAAAUGUGUUUACACAACCAAAUGAUUUCACAUCUGGUGAAAUUCAAGCUGCCGUUCUGUAAAAACAACCCUAAAGUACACUGCUUAGAAAAUAGUGCGAUACCUUUCAAAAUAUCACUGGACUAUGAACUAAAAUAAACUGUACAUUUCAGGAUGUUAAUGGGUAGUUUAAUUAAAAUUUCUUUUAAUUCAUUUAUAUGACAAAUCCAAGCUUGUUAAAAUUAUUUUUAUUGUUACAGAAUUACUGUAAAAUAAUGUAUGAAAUAUUAUUCUUAUUAGAAUGUUUAAUAAUUAUUUCAAUGUUGUAUUCACAAAAUGGGAAUCUCUUGGUAAUAUAUCAAGUAGAUUGCUGAAAAGCCAGUAGAAAUAAAAUAGAUUUGUUUGUUGGUUUGGGUUAAUUGCAUUUGGAAAAAUCCAUUUAGUGAAUUGAUCCAUUUUGGAAAUAAUGUCUAUGUUGGUAUGAAUAAUAUCACAGUAACAAAAAACAAGAAGAAAAGAAAUUAUGUUAAGAAAUAUAUAUAUUCACCUAUACUGGAAACAAUCUUAUAUUUGAAAGCAAUUAGCCUGAUUUAAAUUUUCUUUUGGUCCUAUUCAUAAUGAUGAGUGUGAUGUUUAUAGGUAAAAUAUUUCUAGAAUCUGUGGCGAAUUUCACACCUAUGAAUUCCCACGAGCUUACUGCUACAUGGAGGAAACCAUCUCCCUAUCAGGUUACAAGAGCAACAAAUGUUCUGUCUCCUUAAACAUAUUACGUUAUUUUAUUAUAAACACUUGUAACAAGUUUUUUCUUCCACUGAAACACAUGUGCUAAUUAAUUGGUAAAGGAAUUGCAUACCUCUUGUUUGCAAUGUAAAGAGGACAGAUGUAGAAAAAGAAACACUCAAAGAAUAAAUAGAAACUAAUGAUCAAAUCACUCCACACUUUCAAGAACUUAAACUAGAGUCUGCAAUUGGGACAACAAUGAAAUA